GAUGAACGCUGGCGGCGUGCCUAAUACAUGCAAGUCGAGCGAACAGAUGAGGAGCUUGCUCCUCUGACGUUAGCGGCGGACGGGUGAGUAACACGUGGAUAACCUACCUAUAAGACUGGGAUAACUUCGGGAAACCGGAGCUAAUACCGGAUAAUAUAUUGAACCGCAUGGUUCAAUAGUGAAAGACGGUUUUGCUGUCACUUAUAGAUGGAUCCGCGCCGCAUUAGCUAGUUGGUAAGGUAACGGCUUACCAAGGCAACGAUGCGUAGCCGACCUGAGAGGGUGGUCGGCCACACUGGAACUGAGACACGGUCCAGACUCCUACGGGAGGCAGCAGUAGGGAAUCGUCCGCAAUGGGCGAAAGCCUGACGGAGCAACGCCGCGUGAGUGAUGAAGGUCUUCGGAUCGUAAAACUCUGUUAUUAGGGAAGAACAAAUGUGUAAGUAACUAUGCACGUCUUGACGGUACCUAAUCAGAAAGCCACGGCUAACUACGUG
rnacentral:rRNA from 1 species